ACAGGGGGGUCGAAGGAGGAAGGCCUGCAGGCGACGGCCCUGACCAGGAUGCUGCAGCCGGCCAGCGACCACCUCCCUGACCUUCUCCCCACGCCGGCAACCUUCCUGAUUUGACGCCAUCCGGCUUCCUCUCCGCCCCGGCCCCGCCAGGGCGAAUACCCUAGCUACCUUUGUAUGGUGGUACAGACCAAUGCGGCAGCGAUGGCGAGGAACCGCAGCUCCAAGUUCAGGACUACGCCGGAGACAAGAACGACUCAUAGUAAGGUGCAUCCUGCUGCCUUCUCUGAUCAAUCCGUGAUAUUUUGGCAGCCACGCAAUUGUUGCUGCACAGAAAGGUUCAGAUCAUACCAGGGUUGAAUAGCACCAAGCUGAGCGUACCAGGAGGCGGUGUUGGAGGGUGGACCAGGACUCCACUUGUGCUUUCAGAUUUUUUUGCCGCCACUUAUCUUGAAUGUGGAUUGUGCCUUGGAGCUGGAAAAUGGGUGGCUAGGCUGCUGCUAUUACUGCUUAGGCUCUCAUACGACGGACUUAGACUGCUGAGCGCUGGCACAUGGCGAAAGUUCAUGAUUGGGUCAUGCUGGUAGACCCCAAUGUCGGCGGCAGCAUUGAUGGCGCCGUGCAUGAAGGUUCAGUAGGGCGCCUGGGUACAUGAUGGUGACUUCCUCCUCCACUAGAACGCAUGCCGCCACCUGGGAUAAGAACGAACCACUAGGGAGUAGUCCAAGCGUUUAGCGGGUGGAUCUGGGCCAAGGGAGCUGUGUUGCUGGUUCGAGGAUGGUGUUUGUUGAGUGCGACCUGGAGAAGAAGAACAACUUGGUAUUGUGGCGGCCAAGUACUUACGGCCCAUUAGAUACUACAAUGACCGUACGAGUGUACCGCAAAGUGAGUAGUCCUGAGCAUGGAGGGGCUAUAGCUGGGCAAUGGGAGCAACAUCACUGUCUUGAGGCUGGACUUGGUUGAGUGUGACCUGAAGAAUCAGGGCAAGUCUGGCAUUGUGGCGACCAAGUGCUUACCUGCGCUUAAACACAAUGAAGAGCUUACAGGAGCACCGCCAAGGGAGUAGUCCUGAGCGUGGAGCAGCUGGAGCUGGUCCAAGGGAUCCUCGUUGCUGGUUCGAGGCUGUUGUUGGUUGAGUACGACCUGGAGAAGUAUGG